CCGAGUUACCAAACUCCAAACCUUUGUGAAUCUACCAUCGUUGCUUCGGCGGGCGGCUCCCGGGGGAGCCUUAAACCCGUUGCGGUGUCCGCCGAAAGCCCUAUACUCUUUUGAAUUUUCAGGCCUUAUUUCUGAAUGCAAACACAAACAAGUAA
rnacentral:misc_RNA from 1 species